UACAGAGGUCUCAAGCGUUGUUCGGAUUCAUUGGGCGUAAAGGGUGCGUAGGCGGCGCGGUAAGUCGGGUGUGAAAUCUUGGAGCUUAACUCCGAAACUGCAUUCGAUACUGUGGUGCUUGAGGACUGGAGAGGAGACUGGAAUUCAUGGUGUAGCAGUGAAAUGCGUAGAGAUCAUGAGGAAGACCAGUGGCGAAGGCGGGUCUCUGGACAGUUCCUGACACUGAGGCACGAAGGCCAGGGGAGCAAACGGG
rnacentral:rRNA from 1 species